AAUUUUGGACAAUGGGCGCAAGCCUGAUCCAGCCAUGCCGCGUGAGUGAAGGAGGCCUUCGGGUUGUAAAGCCCUUUCGGACGGAAAGAAAUCGCGCAGGCUAAUACCCUGCGCUGCUGACGGUACCGUCAUAAGAAGCACCGGCUCACCACGUGCCAUCCGCCGCGGUAAGACGAAGGGUGCGAGCGUUAAUCGGAAUUACUGGGCGUAAAGCGUACGCAGGCGGUUGAUUAAGACAGGCGUGAAAUCCACGGGCUUAACCUGGGAACUGCGCUUGUGACUGGUCAGCUAGAGUACGGCAGAGGGGGGUGGAAUUCCACGUGUAGCAGUGAAAUGCGUAGAGAUGUGGAGGAACACCGAAGGCGAAGGCAGCCCCCUGGGCCGAUACUGACGCUCAUGCACGAAAGCGUGGGUAGCAAACAGG
rnacentral:rRNA from 1 species